UCGCCAGACUCCUACGGGAGGCAGCAGUCGGGAAUAUUGCGCAAUGGAGGAAACUCUGACGCAGUGACGCCGCGUAUAGGAAGAAGGUUUUCGGAUUGUAAACUAUUGUCGUGAGGGAAGAAAUUGACAGUACCUCAGGAGGAAGCUCCGGCUAACUAUGUGCCAGCAGCCGCGGUAAUACGGAGGAUGCGAGCGUUAUCCGGAUUUAUUGGGUUUAAAGGGUGCGCAGGCGGCACGGCAAGCCGGCGGUCAAAUCGCGGGGCUCAACCCCGCCCAGCCGUCGGAACUGCCGGGCUAGAGUGGGCGAGAAGUGCGCGGAAUGCGUGGUGUAGCGGUGAAAUGCAUAGAUAUCACGCAGAACUCCGAUUGCGAAGGCAGCGCACCGGCGCCCUACUGACGCUCAGGCACGAAAGCGUGGGUAUCGAACAGGAUUAGAUACCCUUGCAC
rnacentral:rRNA from 1 species